UUAACACGGUCUUCCUUCCAGGACCGUUUACCUAGGAAAGGCGACGGAGCGUCUCCCACCUUAGGGCUGUGGUGCUGGCUAAUGAUAGUUGAUGCCUUAGGGUUUUCACC
rfam:Choloepus hoffmanni cont1.502571, whole genome shotgun sequence.